UGUGUGUGUGUGUGUGUGUGAGUGAGCAUGUGCACGCACACACGCACACACACACACACACACACACU
rnacentral:miRNA from 1 species